rnacentral:rRNA from 1 species
CAGUAACGGCGAGUGAAGCGGUAACAGCUCAAAUUUGAAAUCUGGCCUCACGGUCCGAGUUGUAAUUUGUAGAGGAUGCUUCGAGCAUGGUCUGGCCUAAGUUCCUUGGAACAGGACGUCAUAGAGGGUGAGAAUCCCGUAUGCGGCCAGGUGCCUACGCUCAUGUGAAGCUCCUUCGACGAGUCGAGUUGUUUGGGAAUGCAGCUCAAAAUGGGUGGUAAAUUUCAUCUAAAGCUAAAUAUUGGCCAGAGACCGAUAGCGCACAAGUAGAGUGAUCGAAAGAUGAAAAGCACUUUGGAAAGAGAGUUAAACAGUACGUGAAAUUGUUGAAAGGGAAGCGCUUGCAACCAGACUUGCGCGCGGCCGAUCAUCCGGUGUUCUCACCGGUGCACUCGGCCGUGCUCAGGCCAGCAUCGGUUUUGGCGGCUGGAUAAAGGCCCUAGGAAUGUAGCUCCUCUCGGGGAGUGUUAUAGCCUAGGGUGCAAUGCAGCCUGCUGGGACCGAGGACCGCGCUUCGGCUAGGAUGCUGGCGUAAUGGUUGUAAGCGGCCCGUCUUGAAACACGGACCAAGGAGUCUAACAUCUAUGCGAGUGUUUGGGUGUCAAACCCAUACGCGUAAUGAAAGUGAACGGAGGUGAGAACCCUUAAGGGUGCAUCAUCGACCGGUCCUGAAGUUUACGGAAGGAUCUGAGUAAGAGCAUAGCUGUUGGGACCCGAAAGAUGGUGAACUAUGCCUGAAUAGGGUGAAGCCAGAGGAAACUCUGGUGGAGGCUCGCAGCGGUUCUGACGUGCAAAUCGAUCGUCAAAUUUGGGUAUAGGGGCGAAGACUAAUCGAACCAUCUAGUAGCUG